GACGAACGCUGGCGGCGUGCCUAAUACAUGCAAGUAGAACGCACAGUUUAUACCGUAGCUUGCUACACCAUAAACUGUGAGUUGCGAACGGGUGAGUAACGCGUAGGUAACCUGCCUGGUAGCGGGGGAUAACUAUUGGAAACGAUAGCUAAUACCGCAUAAUAUUAAUUAUUGCAUGAUAAUUGAUUGAAAGAUGCAAUUGCAUCACUACCAGCUGGACCUGCGUUGUAUUAGCUAGUAGGUGAGGUAACGGCUCACCUAGGCGACGAUACAUAGCCGACCUGAGAGGGUGAUCGGCCACACUGGGACUGAGACACGGCCCAGACUCCUACGGGAGGCAGCAGUAGGGAAUCUUCGGCAAUGGACGAAAGUCUGACCGAGCAACGCCGCGUGAGUGAAGAAGGUUGUCGGAUCGUAAAGCUCUGUUGUAAGAGAAGAACGGGUGUGAGAGUGGAAAGUUCACACUGUGACGGUAUCUUACCAGAAAGGGACGGCUAACUACGUG
rnacentral:rRNA from 1 species